CUGGAACGGGCUGCUCAGGGAGGUGGUUGUGCCACUGUCCCUGGAGGAGUUCAAGAAAUGUGUAGAUGUGGUACUGAGGGACAUGGUUUAGUGGGGAAAUAUUGGUGGUAGGUGGUUGGUUGGACUGGAUGAUCUUGGAGGCCUUUUCCAGACUUGGUGAUUCUAUGAUUCUAAUUCAAGCUGACUUAAAACAGACUUUUAAAAAAAUAAAAGGGGGGAAAAAAAAGAAAAAAAAAAAGAAGAGGUGAAAAAUAAAGGCAAGAUGCAUCAGUUUGAUUUUAGAAGGAAAUAAUCUGAUUCCUUAAGGUGCUGGACAAAGAAAAGUAUGAGUAAUGAGGAUAUUUUAUUCCCAGUUUUAUUGUUUAUAGGGCUACUAGCAUCAGGAGGCAGUAAAGGCAGUCACAGUAAACACAAAAACCGUAUGUCCUCUGCAUUGACUGUUCCACGUAGGUGUGAGUAGAGGUCUUGUGUUAUGCAAACAUGGGAAAUGAGCAGAAAAUACUUGGACUUUUUAAAUUAGUUUCAGAAGGAUGUUAGUUUUUCCUACCAGUUUGCAUGUACUGGUCUCAGAUAUAAUUAGGAAAUAGAUUUGCGUAGCAUUUUGGAACACAUGCCUGUAAACAUGGACCUAGAGCCUUUCAAAAAAGGGAGGAAGUUGCAUUUAAAUUGUACAUCAAAGACAUGAAAAAUAAAAGGAAUUAGUUGGAUUCUGGCCAGCCAAUUUCCUCUUACCAACAUCCACUAUUCAUUCUCCUGCAAGAAGCAAGGGCAGAGGCACAAAGCACUCCUAUUUUCCUUUUUUAAGGCAGUUCCUCUCAGGCUAUGCCCAUAAACAAGGUCAGUUUUCUCAAGCUGCAACCUCUCUCACAUCUGAAUUAUAUCAGCAGAUAGCCCCGGCCAGACCCAUUUAUAACAGAGCUCCUCUAAGCUAUGUGGCCUUUGGACAAAGUGUAUUAAAGUCAGUGGCAAAGUUUUCAAUGAAGUCUAUAGAUUUGGUGUUGGGGUCUCAAUGGGCAGAUGCUUUAUUAGAUGCUUAAAUAGGAUGAUACCCAUGGCACUAGACAAAAUAUUUUGAUUGUUUCUAUCAGCUAAAAAUUAAUUGACAUUUAACUUAAAAAGCAGAGUAAAAUUAAUCAGUUUUCUGAUUGUUUUGUUAAUAUUAGGCGUAUGAUCUAAAGCUCAUUGACAUUAAC
ensembl:lncRNA